rnacentral:rRNA from 1 species
UACGAAGGGGGCUAGCGUUGCUCGGAAUGACUGGGCGUAAAGGGCGCGUGAGGCGGUUCACGCAGUCAGAUGUGAAAUUCCUGGGCUCAACCUGGGGGCUGCAUUUGAUACGCGUGGACUGGAGUGGGGAAGAGGGUCGUGGAAUUCCCAGUGUAGAGGUGAAAUUCGUAGAUAUUGGGAAGAACACCGGUGGCGAAGGCGGCGACCUGGUCCUUGACUGACGCUGAGG